ACACACACACACACACACACACACACACACACACACACUCUCUCUCUCUCUGUGACCCACACACAUAUGCACAUGCACAAAAAACACAGCCACACGGAUACAUAGUGGACACAUACAUUUACGCCCAUACACACAAACACACCUGUGCACACAAACACACAUGCAUACUAGUAUGUGCAGUCACAAAUAUGCACACACGCAUGGCGCAUGACAAUACAACAAACACUGAGAGUCAGACUGGACAAACAAUGUUUAUUUCAUUUGCAACUAUGGACAGGUGUCAUACUUACAAUAACAUGUACACAAUACAAACACUUCAAGACUGGACAAACUGUGUAUUUAACUUGCAACUAUGGACAGGUACAAUACAUCCAUACUGAUAUAAUGACAAAAAUACACACACACACACACACCACCCACCACACACACACUUCAAGACUGGACAAAGUGUGCAUUUAAUUUAAAACUAUUGACAGGUACAAUACAUUGUACUUGCAUAUACACAAUACAAACACUUCAAGACUGGACAAACUGUGUAUUUAACUUGCAACUAUGGACAGGUACAAUACCUCCAUACUGAUAUAAUGACAAAAAUACACACACACACACACACACUGACAUAAUGUCAAAUACACUUAUACAUAGUGGACAACACGGAUACAUAGUGGACACAUACAUUUACGCCCAUACACACAAACACACCUGUGCACACAAACACACAUGCAUACUAGUAUGUGCAGUCACAAAUAUACAUACAUGUACUUAUGCACACACGCAUGGCGCAUGACAAUACAACAAACACUGAGAGUCAGACUGGACAAACAAUGUUUAUUUCAUUUGCAACUAUGGACAGGUGUCAUACUUACAAUAACAUGUCAAGACUGGACAAACUGUGUAUUUAACUUGCAACUAUGGACAGGUACAAUACCUCCAUACUGAUAUAAUGACAAAAAUAUACACACACACACACUGACAUGAUGUCAAAUACACACACACACACACACCACACACACACUUCAAGACUGGACAAACUGUGUAUCUAACUUGCAACUAUGGACAAGUGCAAUACCUCCAUACUGAUAUAAUGACAAAAAUACAGACACACACUGACAUAAUGACAAAUACACACACAUACACACGACCACCCACACACACCCACCACACACUUCAAGACUGGACAAAGUGUACAUUUAAUUUAAAACUAUUGACAGGUGCAAUACUUACAAAUACACAAUACAAACAGUUUCAGACUGAUGAAACAUCGUGCAUUUAAUUUACAACUAUUGACAGGUGCAAAGACUAGUGUAAUGACCCCCCCCCCACACACACACAUGCAGUCAUACUUGCACACGCGCAUUGACACAAGCACACACACACA